rnacentral:rRNA from 1 species
GGGAACUGCAUUUGUGACUGUAUAGCUAGAGUACGGCAGAGGGGGAUGGAAUUCCGCGUGUAGCAGUGAAAUGCGUAGAUAUGCGGAGGAACACCGAUGGCGAAGGCAAUCCCCUGGGCCUGUACUGACGCUCAUGCACGAAAGCGUGGGGAGCAAACAGGAUUAGAUACCCUGGUAGUCCACGCCCUAAACGAUGUCAACUGGUUGUUGGGUCUUCACUGACUCAGUAACGAAGCUAACGCGUGAAGUUGACCGCCUGGGGAGUACGGCCGCAAGGUCGAAACUCAAAGGAACUGACGGGGACCCGCACAAGCGGUGGAUGAUGUGGUUUAAUUCGAUGCAACGCGAAAAACCUUACCCACCUUUGACAUGUACGGAAUCCUUUAGAGAUAGAGGAGUGCUCGAAAGAGAGCCGUAACACAGGUGCUGCAUGGCUGUCGUCAGCUUGUGUCGUGAGAUGUUGGGUUAAGUCCCGCAACGAGCGCAACCCUUGCCAUUAGUUGCUACGAAAGGGCACUCUAAUGGGACUGCCGGUGACAAACCGGAGGAAGGUGGGGAUGACGUCAAGUCCUCAUGGCCCUUAUAGGUGGGGCUACACACGUCAUACAAUGGCUGGUACAGAGGGUUGCCAACCCGCGAGGGGGAGCUAAUCCCAUAAAGCCAGUCGUAGUCCGGAUCGCA